UACAGAGGUCCCAAGCGUUGUUCGGAUUCAUCGUGGCGUAAAGGGUGCGUAGGUGGCGGGUAAGUGGAGUGUGAAAGCUCGGGAGCACCACCGAAACUGCACUUGAUACUGCCUUGCUAGAGUACUGGAGAGGAGAUUGGAAUUUACGGUGUAGCAGUGAAAUGCGUAGAUAUCGUAAGGAAGACCAGUGGCGAAGGCGAGUCCCUGGACAACACCUGACACUGAGGCACGAAAGCUAGGGGAGCAAACGGG
rnacentral:rRNA from 1 species